rnacentral:rRNA from 1 species
UGGGGAAUUUUGGACAAUGGGGGAAACCCUGAUCCAGCCAUCCCGCGUGUGCGAUGAAGGCCUUCGGGUUGUAAAGCACUUUUGGCAGGAAAGAAACGUCAUGGGUUAAUACCCCGUGAAACUGACGGUACCUGCAGAAUAAGCACCGGCUAACUACGUGCCAGCAGCCGCGGUAAUACGUAGGGUGCAAGCGUUAAUCGGAAUUACUGGGCGUAAAGCGUGCGCAGGCGGUUCGGAAAGAAAGAUGUGAAAUCCCAGAGCUCAACUUUGGAACUGCAUUUUUAACUACCGGGCUAGAGUGUGUCAGGGGGAGGUGGAAUUCCGCGUGUAGCAGUGAAAUGCGUAGAUAUGCGGAGGAACACCGAUGGCGAAGGCAGCCUCCUGUGAUAACACUGACGCUCAUGCACGAAAGCGUGGGGAGCAAACAGG